rnacentral:rRNA from 1 species
CGUCAGCUCGUGUUGUGAAAUGUUGGGUUAAGUCCCGCAACGAGCGCAACCCUUAUCCUUUGUUGCCAGCGGUUCGGCCGGGAACUCAAAGGAGACUGCCAGUGAUAAACUGGAGGAAGGUGGGGAUGACGUCAAGUCAUCAUGGCCCUUACGAGUAGGGCUACACACGUGCUACAAUGGCGUAUACAAAGAGAAGCGAACUUGCGAGAGUAAGCGGACCUCAUAAAGUACGUCGUAGUCCGGAUUGGAGUCUGCAACUCGACUCCAUGAAGUCGGAAUCGCUAGUAAUCGUAGAUCAGAAUGCUACGGUGAAUACGUUCCCGGGCCUUGUACACACCGCCCGUCACACCAUGGGAGUGGGUUGCAAAAGAAGUAGGUAGCUUAACCUUCGGGAGGGCGCUUACC